GGGUUGUGAGGUUAAGCGACUAAGCGUACACGGUGGAUGCCCUGGCAGUCAGAGGCGAUGAAGGGCGUGCUAAUCUGCGAUAAGCGCCGGUAAGGUGAUAUGAACCGUUAUAACCGGCGAUACCCGAAU
rnacentral:rRNA from 2 species